rnacentral:rRNA from 1 species
UACAGAGGUCCCAAGCGUUGUUCGGAUUCACUGGGCGUAAAGGGUGCGUAGGUGGCCAGGUAAGUUUGGUGUGAAAGCUCGGAGCUUAACUCCGAAAAGUCAUUGAAUACUAUCUGGCUGGAGGGUCGGAGGGGAGACUGGAAUUCUCGGUGUAGCAGUGAAAUGCGUAGAUAUCAGGAGGAACACCGAUGGCGAAGGCAGGUCUCUGGGCUGACACUGACGCUCAUGCACGAAAGCGUGGGGAGCGAACAGG